rnacentral:rRNA from 1 species
AUUGAACGCUGGCGGCAGGCUUAACACAUGCAAGUCGAGCGGGGUGAUGGUGCUUGCACUAUCACUUAGCGGCGGACGGGUGAGUAAUGCUUAGGAAUCUGCCUAUUAGUGGGGGACAACAUCUCGAAAGGGAUGCUAAUACCGCAUACGUCCUACGGGAGAAAGCAGGGGAUCACUUGUGACCUUGCGCUAAUAGAUGAGCCUAAGUCGGAUUAGCUAGUUGGUGGGGUAAAGGCCUACCAAGGCGACGAUCUGUAGCGGGUCUGAGAGGAUGAUCCGCAACACUGGGACUGAGACACGGCCCAGACUCCUACGGGAGGCAGCAGUGGGGAAUAUUGGACAAUGGGGGGAACCCUGAUCCAGCCAUGCCGCGUGUGUGAAGAAGGCCUUAUGGUGUAAAGCACUUUAAGCGAGGAGGAGGCUACUCUAGUUAAUACCUAGGGAUAGUGGACGUUACUCGCAGAAUAAGCACCGGCUAACUCUGUGCCAGCCGCCGCCGUAA